rnacentral:rRNA from 1 species
UAAUGUGCUUGUAAUUGGAAUGAUGGUGACCCAAACCCUCACCAGAGUAGCAAUUGGAGGGCAAGUCUGGUGCCAGCAGCCGCGGUAAUUCCAGCUCCAAUAGCGUAUAUUAAACUUGUUGCAGUUAAAAGGCUCGUAGUUGAAUUUUAGCGUGUUCGAGUUUGCCAUUCGUUUGGCUUUUUCGAGUUCGCUUUUGGGUUUUCCCUUUUUACUUUGAGAAAAUUAGAGUGUUUCAAGCAGACUUUUGUCUUGAAUACUUCAGCAUGGAAUAAUAGAGUAGGACUUUGGUUCUAUUUUGUUGGUUAUUGAACCUUAGUAAUGGUUAAUAGGAACGGUUGGGGGCAUUCGUAUUUAACUGUCAGAGGUGAAAUUCUUAGAUUUGUUAAAGACGAACUACUGCGAAAGCAUUUGCCAAGGACGUUUCCAUUAAUCAAGAACGAAAGUUAGGGGAUCGAAGACGAUCAGAUACCGUCGUAGUCCUAACCAUAAACCAUGCCGACUAGUGAUUGGAGGUCGUCGUUUUGCUGACC